rnacentral:rRNA from 1 species
GAUGGACGCUGGCGGCGUGCCUAAUACAUGCAAGUCGAGCGAAUGGAUUAAGAGCUUGCUCUUAUGAAGUUAGCGGCGGACGGGUGAGUAACACGUGGGUAACCUGCCCAUAAGACUGGGAUAACUCCGGGAAACCGGGGCUAAUACCGGAUAACAUUUUGAACCGCAUGGUUCGAAAUUGAAAGGCGGCUUCGGCUGUCACUUAUGGAUGGACCCGCGUCGCAUUAGCUAGUUGGUGAGGUAACGGCUCACCAAGGCAACGAUGCGUAGCCGACUUGAGAGGGUGAUCGGCCAAACUGGGACUGAGACACGGCCCAGACUCCUACGGGAGGCAGCAGUAGGGAAUCUUCCGCAAUGGACGAAAGUCUGACGGAGCAACGCCGCGUGAGUGAUGAAGGCUUUCGGGUCGUAAAACUCUGUUGUUAGGGAAGAACAAGUGCUAGUUGAAUAAGCUGGCACCUUGACGGUACCUAACCAGAAAGCCACGGCUAACUACGUGCCAGCAGCCGCAGUAA